UUAUUGUUGAAUCGGAUAAAGCGUUCUCUAAGCUUCAAAAUGAUACCAAGAUCGACCUCCUAGCUAUUUUCUAUCCGGAGAUAUGUUCGAGGGAACGCUACGAAGUAUUGCAACGCCCUCUUGAGUAAAUGACGCUCAAACUUCAUGAAUAAUUGAAGUUCAAUUAUUGAUUUCCGGGCACUUCCGUAUACUCAUAAAGCUUAGUAAAAGAUUUUCUGGAGAGGACGAGUUAGUUAGAUGAAGGCUAGGCAUUCUAGGACUCUCUAGCUAGCUAGUAUAGCUAUGUAGCUGGAUUGCUUGGCAUCUAGGAAGGAUCUUUGAAGAAAUAAAAAGACAAAGACUCCCGUCGCUCCAAUGGUUGUUGCGAGUGUCGGAGGCCUGAGAAACAAUAGUCUAUUGGCUAGAAUGUUGUUAUGGAGGGUUUAUGAAGACAAGUGGCACGGGAUACAUACAUCUAAAGAAACAAGAGUGGAUCUACGCCAAGCUAGCUAGCUAGAUAGCUGCUCUUUCUAAUGAAUUUCUGUUGCUAAAUUAUGUUUGUUAAGAAGUGGAGCUAUAAUAUACCUGGCUCCUCUUGAUGAUUGUAAGUACUGGGCUGAUGAAAUAGUCCUGUACAAGUUGUAAUUUUUUUUUUGUUAAAAAUAAUUAACAAUAAUAGGGAAAUUCCCAGGGAAUUUCCCCUCACGUA